UACAGAGGGGGCAAGCGUUGUUCGGAAUUACUGGGCGUAAAGGGCGCGUAGGCGGCCUUCUAAGUCGAACGUGAAAUCCCUGGGCUCAACCCAGGAACUGCGUCCGAUACUGGAAGGCUUGAAUCCGGGAGAGGGAUGCGGAAUUCCAGGUGUAGCGGUGAAAUGCGUAGAUAUCUGGAGGAACGCCGGUGGUGAAGGCGGCAUCCUGGACCGGCAUUGACGCUGAGGCGCGAAAGUGUGGGGAGCGAACAGG
rnacentral:rRNA from 1 species